AAAUCCUUUUGUCAAAUAUUCUGUAAAGUUGGAGCUGUUUCCUUUGACCUCUAAAUUUUAUAUCUCUGAUGAGGACUUGAAGAAAUAGAAAACAGAGAGCCAGAAUCUGAGCUCAGUUACCCGAGAGAAUAUCAGAAGUGUCUUCACCGAAGCCAACUGGCUGUGAGUCUAUUUCAUUGUAUUUAUACUCAUGUAACUGAGUUUUAUUUUGCUGCAACUGAGAUCAGGAUCUGCCCUUUGAUGUAUACAUUUGUGGCACCCAUGUUUGGAGAUGUCGAUCUGUUUCAAAACAACUGUACCUGUAUAAAUACUGCUUGAAGUGAUACAUCUGCAAAAUGCCUGAGGAAAAGAAGGUGUUCUUUUCAAUUGAUUCUCCAAUGAAAUCAACAUGGAUUCAGAAAAGAUGCUUUUACACAACUCUCUGUCAGUUUGGAAAGUUUGUUAAAGUUCAUGAAGGCCAGAAAACCUCCUGUGUGACUGGAUCACAUUCCUUUCUCGGAUUUAUUCUAUGGGGAACAAUGGUGAAAGAAUGAGUGAAUUGACCUUUUCUAGUUCUAAUCUUCUGAUUAUGUAAUGUACUGCACUGUUUCUUGUUUAAUCAUUUCCCCUUGUUUCUUGCUUUAAAAGGGUGAUUGAGAAUGAUUUGCCUUUUAGAAUCAGUGCAUCUAAAGAAGUGAACAAUGAUUUUCAUCUUUUAAAGGUAACUAAAGAUUGAGAGAAAUCAUUUGGCACAUCAUUAAUAUAGAAGUGUUUACUGAGCACAGUGGGAAAGUACAUGUGAUUUCAUUGCUGGACUACUUUUUCAUUAGGCAGGCUAAUGCACCUGAGAGAGCUAGAAAGGAGGGCCAGAAUGAUGUUAUGCAAUUCUGCUUCACACAAAAAACCCAGCCCUAAAUUUUUAAGAUUGGAUUUAGUGCAGGGCUGUUUUUAAGGCUCAUAAGUAAAGAUAAAGUGAAACUCUGUACUUGCCAAAUCACUUUUAACUGACUAACCUCUCUAGCCCCUCUUAAAGUCUCAGACCUUCAUUUAACCAUCUAGAUCCUAUCAAAUUCAUGGAAUCCUCUAAGCAAAAAGUAAUAAAAUAUUCUCACUUCAAGUUUGUGUGUGAUCUAAUGAUUACACGGAGAGAUCAUAACUAGAGGAUAGCUAGGAGUG